CGCGCGCUCACACCCGGCUUCGCUUCAGCCUUAGCCUGCGAGCCGCCAUCGCCGUCAUGCUGGGCGCCGCUCUCCGCCGCUGCGCCGCAGCUGCAGCCUCCCGGGCCGGCCCUCGAGGUCUUAGGCACUCCGGCCCAGCCCCCAGCCCCACCGCCGCUAUUCAGUCAGUUCGCUGCUACUCCCAUGGGUCUCAUGAGACAGAUGAGGAGUUUGAUGCUCGCUGGGUGACAUACUUCAACAAGCCAAAUAUCGAUGCCUGGGAAUUGCGUAAAGGGAUGAACACACUUGUUGGUUAUGAUCUGGUUCCGGAACCCAAAAUCAUCGAUGCUGCUUUACGGGCGUGCAGACGGUUAAAUGAUUUUGCUAGUGCUGUUCGCAUCCUAGAGGUUGUUAAGGACAAAGCAGGACCUCAUAAGGAAAUAUACCCCUAUGUCAUCCAGGAACUUAGACCAACUUUAAAUGAAUUGGGAAUCUCCACUCCAGAAGAACUGGGCCUUGACAAAGUGUAACCUCCUGUGGAAAUGACUCAUUUCAUACAGAAUUGAAGCCCUCUGCAUACCCUUCUCUAAUUCCAGUUCCUUAACCUCCCACAAACCAAAGAUGGGCUUCCUAAGGAUGUAUUGGUGUUGCUACUUGAUUGUAAAAGUCACCUGGAAAUACUGAUGAUAACAUAUUACCUUAUUUGAACAAGUUUUCCUUUAUUGAAUACCAAACCAUGUAAUGGUAACUUGGAUGUUAAUAAAAGGGAAACGAGUUUGAACUGAAAA